rnacentral:sRNA from 1 species
AAGAAUUGGAGGGGCCUGCCUUGUGAUGUCACCCCUCCUCCCCCCACCGCGCGCACGCGCGCGCGCACACACACACACACACACACACCCCCCAACACACACUCCCUGUCCCCUUUCUCCACCCUGCAAGCUAGUUGCAUUUAGCUCACAGAGCCUGGGCUGCGACUUGAAAGAGUUUAGGCAGCAACAGAGUGACCCUGGGGGUGCUCUUGACCGACAGCCGCACCCCCGGCGUCUAGGACCUCCGAGCAGGGAUGCAUCUGGAGGUCUAGGGAAGCACUUCCACCCCCUCCUCUCCUCAACCCUGGCAGGAUGUGCCCGAAAUGCCAGCUCCUCCUUGGUGUUCUCCUUUCAGGAUUUGAAUUCAAAUCCCAUUGGCAGCCCUGAUACCGCUGGGGGAAGGGUGAGGCUACUGCUGCUUCAAGACAGUGACGUUUCUCUCCGGUCAGCUGUCAGGAGCGCUGCUGGGUCUUACUGGGGAUCUGGCCAGCCUUGGGGGCCCUUGGAGCCCUGGCCCAGUGGAAGCUCGUGCCUGAGGAACAUGGAGGCCACGCUAAUGAUGGAGUCUCACUCUGUCACCCAUGCUGGAGUACAGUGGCAUGAUCUUGGCUCACUGUAACCUCCGCCUCCUGG